GAUGAACGCUGGCGGCGUGCUUAACACAUGCAAGUCGAACGAUGAAGCCCAGCCUGCUGGGCGGAUUAGUGGCGAACGGGUGAGUAACACGUGAGUAACCUGCCCUUGACUCUGGGAUAAGCCCGGGAAACUGGGUCUAAUACCGGAUAGGAGCGCCUGUCGCAUGACGGGUGCUGGAAAGAUUUUUCGGUCAUGGAUGGACUCGCGGCCUAUCAGCUUGUUGGUGAGGUAACGGCUCACCAAGGCGACGACGGGUAGCCGGCCUGAGAGGGUGACCGGCCACACUGGGACUGAGACACGGCCCAGACUCCUACGGGAGGCAGCAGUGGGGAAUAUUGCACAAUGGGCGGAAGCCUGAUGCAGCGACGCCGCGUGAGGGAUGACGGCCUUCGGGUUGUAAACCUCUUUCAGUAGGGAAGAAGCGAAAGUGACGUACCUGCAGAAGAGC
rnacentral:rRNA from 1 species